CCAACAGGGAUUGCCUCAGUAACGGCGAGUGAAGCGGCAAAAGCUCAAAUUUGAAAUCUAGCACCUUCGGUGUUCGAGUUGUAAUUUGAAGAUGGUAACCUUGGGUUUGGCUCUUGUCUAUGUUCCUUGGAACAGGACGUCAUAGAGGGUGAGAAUCCCGUCUGAUGAGAUGCCCAUUCCUAUGUAAGGUGCUAUCGAAGAGUCGAGUUGUUUGGGAAUGCAGCUCUAAGUGGGUGGUAAAUUCCAUCUAAAGCUAAAUAUUGGCGAGAGACCGAUAGCGAACAAGUACAGUGAUGGAAAGAUGAAAAGAACUUUGAAAAGAGAGUGAAAAAGUACGUGAAAUUGUUGAAAGGGAAGGGCAUUAGAUCAGACUUGGUGUUUUACGAUUAUCUUCUCUUCUUGAGUUGUGCACUCGUAUUUCACUGGGCCAGCAUCGAUUCGGAUGGCAAGAUAAUGGCAGUUGAAUGUGGCUUCACUUCGGUGGAGUGUUAUAGCUUCUGCUGAUAUUGCCUGUCUGGAUCGAGGGCUGCGUCUUUUGACUAGGAUGCUGGCGUAAUGAUCUAAUG
rnacentral:rRNA from 1 species